rnacentral:rRNA from 1 species
AUUGAACGCUGGCGGCAGGCUUAACACAUGCAAGUCGAACGAGUGGCGGACGGGUGAGUAAUGCGUGGGAAACUAACUGAUGGAGGGGGAUAACUACUGGAAACUGUCGCUAAUACCGCAUACCAUAGGAUGAGCACAGGUGGGAUUAGGUUGUUGGUGAGGUAAAGGCUCCCCAAGCCGACGAUCCCUAGCUGGUCUGAGAGGAUGACCAGCAACACUGGGACGGAGACACGGUCCAGACUCCGACGUGAGGCAGCAGUGGGGAAUAUUGAGCAAUGGGGGAAACCUGAUGCAGCCAGGCCGCGUGAAUGAAGAAGGCCUUCGGGUUGUAAAGUUCUUUCGGUAGCGAGGCGUUACCAACAGAAGAAGCACCGGCUAACUCCGUGCCAGCCGCCGCGGUAAUAC